AAUGAACGCUGGCGGCAGGCCUAACACAUGCAAGUCGAACGAGGUAGCAAUACCUAGUGGCGGACGGGUGAGUAACACGUGGGAACGUACCCUUUGCUACGGAAUAGCCCUGGGAAACUGGGAGUAAUACCGUAUGAGCCCGAGAGGGGAAAGAUUUAUCGGCAAAGGAUCGGCCCGCGUUGGAUUAGGUAGUUGGUGGGGUAAUGGCCUACCAAGCCGACGAUCCAUAGCUGGUUUGAGAGGAUGAUCAGCCACACUGGGACUGAGACACGGCCCAGACUCCUACGGGAGGCAGCAGUGGGAAUCUUAGACAAUGGGGGAAACCCUGAUCUAGCCAUGCCGCGUGAUCGAUGAAGGCCUUAGGGUUGUAAAGAUCUUUCAGGUGGGAAGAUAAUGACUGUACCACCAGAAGAAGCCCCGGCUAACUCCGUGCCAGCAGCCGCGGUAAU
rnacentral:rRNA from 1 species